AUGAGCGGGAGGGACGUCAGAGACGAAGAGAAACCAGAGUGUGUCCAGCCUGGCACAGACGUGACCUCCUUUCACAAAAGAUUUUCCCCAGGGAACAAGGGAGGAUGUGGCGCUCAGGGGGCGCAUGACUCGGGUGAACCGGCCCCCAACGUGGGCGCCAUGGAAGGGUUUGGCAACCUAGAGGCGUUUGUUCCCAUUCCGGUUUCAGGGGCUUCAGGGCACAGUGUGGGCCUGGCGGGGAGCACAGGGCAGGGAGCUGAGCCAGCAGGGAGGACCAUCUGCUACGCUGCCAGCCACGCCGGGCCCCAUGCGGGAAACAAGUCGGCUUUGGGGCCAGAGGAGACAUCCGUUGCUGCUGGACACUGUGCCAAGCCAAGCGGCCCACCUCGCAGGCUUCCUCCCUCACUCCCCACUGUGCCCAGAAGAAGGGCAGGGAGUCUUUGCCAAGUGGCUGCUACAGCCAGGGUAAAUGGGCACAGGGCGUUCUGGGACCAUAGGCAGGGCAAACGGGUACAGAGGAGCAUUCUGGGACCCCAGGCAGGGCAAACGGGCAUGGAGGGGCGUUCUGGGACCUCAGGCAGGGCAAAUGGGCAUGGAGGGCGUUCUGGGACCACAGGCAGGGCAAAUGGGCACGGAAGGCAUUCUGGGACCCCAUGUGACUACAGCGCCCCUAAACACAAUGCUUUUUAAUAAUGACAUGAUUCACUUGUUCACAGGAGCAGCGACUGCUAUGGGGAAGUGGGGAGCUCGGGGAGCUCGUAGGAGUCCAGGUCUCGGCAUCGGGACGGGAGGGCUUGCACCCGAGAACGAGGGCGACCCCCGAGAGGGGCCGGAUCCGUCUGAGCUGCUCCCUGUGCUGGGGGAAUGAAUACACGGACUAUCCUCCCUUUCUACUGAACUAGGAACACGACAUUUACACAACAAAUGAACACAAGCCGCGGGAGCCAUCCCGAACGGAGGGACCUCCUCCGGGUCCCCUGCUGCAUGCUCAGAGACGGCGCCCGCCGCGCUCCGGCCCUGCUGCCUAGAAGGUGCUGGUGGAGGUGGUGAGCCGCCUUCCGAUGUAGAUCCUGAGGGAGAAGCAACGACAGUUUGGUGGGCGGCGCCCAAGCUGGGGCCCAGGCAGACCCUUCUCCGCCACUUGCUUCCUCCCACAGGACUUGGGGGCAGGGGGUGGGGGCGGGGGUGGGGGUGUCCAGGGCAGGCAGGACCUUCUUUUAGGGUCCUCAUUCCAAGGGCUUCCAAAUGGGCCCGUCCAGCCACCUUCCAACCCCCACAACAGCUGGAAACGCCAAAGCGGAGCUCGGCCUCAUUCCCCCAAACCCUCCCCACUGGGCCCCAAACCUCCGGGCCACCCCCGACUCCUCACUCACCACCCCACACAACCCCCCCCCGCCCAUGGAGCUGCUGCCAAGUCAGUGUGCACUCAUUAAGCACCUACUGUGUGCCAGGCAGAGAUCUGGAGACACGAAGAAAAGGGGGACACAAAAGACCCUCCCUGUGAAAAAGGGGAGACAACCUGCCGCCCCCCCUCGCCUCACCGUGACAGCCCAGAGCCAGAAAGGAAAAGGCUGAUCUGAUCUGCUAAGCUUAAGGAAGACUUCCUGCAGGUGCGCCCGAGGAGCCCCACGCCGGUGACCAUCAGUCACGGAGACGAGCGCAGACCCCCCUUCCCCCAGGGUGAGCCCGGCUCAGCCAAUCACGCGGCUGCCACGUGUGUGGGGGGCCUGUCCUGCCCUCGCUGCGGGGGCCGAGGCUUCCCCGCCACCAACUCUGUGCUAACAAGGUGGCAGCGUUCCCCGUGCUCUGCUCAGUGCACUCGGCCAACGAGCACUUAGUGAGCGCCUUCUGUGUGCCGGGCGGACGCCAAAGGGACAAAAGCCGGUCCCUGCCCUCUGGGGGGGACGCGAUCAUUAAACACGUACACAUGGGAAAUGGCUGACGUAGGGAUGGUGCUGGAAGAUUUCCUCUAGAAAUGGAUUUAAAGGGAACCUGGGGGAACUGACAUUGACACGUGAGCCCCUGGACAGGGGCCGGUGUGACCCCAUCUUACAAAGGCGGAAACUGAGGCAGCAAAGGUCAAGGGGCCGAGACCACAAGUGACCUCGGGCCUUCCCGACGCCCUCCAGGAAUGCAGGUCAACCCGGAAAGACUCCCGGCCCUCAAGGAAGCGGGGCGAGGAAGGACGGGGACCCCAAUGUGGGGGAGUCCUCCCCCUGCGCUCUGACCCGGCCUGCGGCAGGCGGCCUGCCUUGGUCUCCCCGGAUGUCAGCGAUUCCCCUAAAGCAGGACCACGGGCCCCCUCACCCUCCAACCUCGGCUCAGAUUCCCCGAUGGUACUCACCCCAAGCCAAUGGCGAGGAAGUGAGAGAGCAGCAGGGACGGGAGGAAGACCUUCAGGAACUCCGCUGAGAAGAUGCCCCCCUUCUUCAUGACACUCGUGUUCCUCAUGCUGAGAGUGGCUGAGCGCUUUGGGUGCUUAAAAAGAAACUCCCUGCACAAAGGGAAGCGAGGGCCAGGGGUCAGUGCUCCCGGACUGGGAGCGGGCAGUCAGCCCCCUCCUCCGCUGCUCUUCCAACCACUGCCCUCUGUGGCUCCCCCUCCACGGCUCUCCUCUGCUCCCCUCCCCCAGGGGCCCCCAUCCACGGCCUCCUGUUCCCUCCCCCAGGGACUCCCCU
rnacentral:lncRNA from 1 species